rfam:Cephalotus follicularis DNA, scaffold: scaffold5178, isolate: St1.
GGAGUAUCGGUGAUGAGAGAAUCCAAAAUGUUAUCCUUGCACUUUGAUUGCUAGUGAAGAAACUUAUGGGGAAUAGAUAUCUCUGAGAUGUUC